rnacentral:rRNA from 1 species
CAAGGCGACGACGGGUAGCCGGCCUGAGAGGGUGACCGGCCACACUGGGACUGAGACACGGCCCAGACACCUACGGGAGGCAGCAGUGGGGAAUAUUGCACAAUGGGCGAAAGCCUGAUGCAGCGACGCCGCGUGAGGGAUGACGGCCUUCGGGUUGUAAACCUCUUUCAGUAGGGAAGAAGCGCAAGUGACGGUACCUGCAGAAGAAGCGCCGGCUAACUACGUGCCAGCAGCCGCGGUAAUACGUAGGGCGCAAGCGUUGUCCGGAAUUAUUGGGCGUAAAGAGCUCGUAGGCGGUUUGUCGCGUCCGCUGUGAAAGCCCGGGGCUCAACCCCGGGUCGGCAGUGGGUACGGGCAGACUAGAGUGCAGUAGGGGAGACUGGAAUUCCUGGUGUAGCGGUGAAAUGCGCAGAUAUCAGGAGGAACACCGAUGGCGAAGGCAGGUCUCUGGGCUGUUACUGACGCUGAGGAGCGAAAGCUGGGGAGCGAACAGGAUUAGAUACCCUGGUAGUCCAUGCCGUAAACGUUGGGCACUAGGUGUGGGGGACAUUCCACGUCCUCCGCGCCGUAGCUAACGCAUUAAGUGCCCCGCCUGGGGAGUACGG